rnacentral:lncRNA from 1 species
GAACAUGUGAUUAGGCUGUUGAAUAAAUUCCCAACCCUGUGCUUAGGUACCUUCACACGGUUAUUGCUUGCACCAUAUGGAGUAGAAAAGAGGUAGGAAUGAUGAGCUAUUUAUGUUGUCGGACAUGCUUUAUAACCACCAUGUUAACAUUUGCUAUUUUUUUGCUUGAUUAUCUUGUUUCAAUUAAUAAAAAGAAACCGGAUGAUAAGGGUGAUAUAAUGGUAGGUGGAAUCAUCACUUUUAUUGCUAAGAGGUUUAGGGUGAGUGUGAAUCAAGGGAUCAAGAGGAUAGAUGAAAAUUAUUAUCCAAACUUAUAUACUCUCACUACUUUGUCUUUCCUUAGAACCCAUGACCAUACUCACAAUUAUCAAUAUGAAUGGAGGAUUAUUAGAACUAAUUGUUUGAUUAUUCUACCUAAUUCGGACAUUACUAAUCUGGAGGUGGUGGAAAAUUUGCUUUAUGUUGGUACUAACCCACAGGUACAAGAUGAUGGUGAUGAUGAUGGUGGUGAUGAAGAGGAGGUAGGUGCACAACACCAUGAACAAAAAGCCGGUGGAAACUAUAAUGAUAAACGGUGGGCAUGGAUGCAAACCAAAGUUCAAAUAAUAUACACUGAGCAACAAAAACAAGGUGUUGAAAUGGUCGGGAUAAGAAACGAUGUCCUAAGGGGCAAUCAAAUAAAUGAAUAACACAAUCAAAUGUUCCGAUCAUGAUGCAACACCUUCACCUCCAAGGUCCACCUUGUGGAUUUCCAUAAAAUUGUGAGCUCUCCUCUUCCUCUACUCUUCUCUAUUUUUCUUCUUCUUCUUCUUCUUCUUCUUCUUCUUCUUCUUCUUCUUCUUUUUCUUAUUUUGAAUCAUUGAGGACAAUGCUUCUCCUAAGUGUGGGGGGAGCCUAAUAAAGUGUCUUUAGUCGUAGUGUUUCCAAACUCCCUUGAACUUUAUUCUUUUGUUUUGUUUUAUUGUAAAAGGCAUGGUUAAGUAGCUAUUUUUUAUUGAAAAUAUCAUGACACAAAAUUUUCAUUGUCUCCUUUUAUUUGAUUGAUUCUUGUACAAGAAAGCAAACUCUUGUGUUUUAAGUCUUCUUGAUAUAUCCACAUCUUGUUUUAAAGUGAAUAAGAAAAACACAAAUUUGCUUCCCUUGAGUAAAUGUAUGAAUAGGUAUUUUAAGGAAACGCGUUUUAAUCUUAGUGGUGCAUUAACAUUUAAAGAUUCUCAAAGUGCCAGUAGUAUAAGUUAGUAUAAGGGAGUUCAUAAAAAGCCAAAUAAAUUCCAAAGAUCUAAUCAUUGAAUCUAGAUUGGGGAAGGAGGUAGGCCCUCCGACUUCCUACGUGAAGAUGAUUGUUAUCUUGAGGAAAAACUUUAAAAAAGCAUCAUUGAAUCUAGAUUGGGGAAGGAGGUAGGCCCUCCGACUUCCUACGUGAAGAUGAUGUUUUAAGGGAUACCAUUGAAUCUAGAUUGGGGAAGGGGGUAGGCCCUCCGACCUCCUACGUGAAGAUGUUGUUCCUUAAAUAAAGAACUUAAAUGUGCAAAUGGCAAAGAACGAAGAUUCUCAAAUACUCCCAUCUCUCUUAUAUGAAUUAUAGAAGGAAUCUUUCUUGGUUGGUUUAGUGCUAGGAUUAGACCAUGUUUCCUCAUAAUGCCUAUCUUAUACAGGAGCAAGAAAAGGGCUGGACUUCACACACACACUCACUUGAAACUUGAUCGUUGGGUUGAAUAAAAAUUACAAGAAAUGCUUGAGUUUGUGAUUAGUGUACAUUUGGGAUUUAAGCCCUUGAGGAGACAUGUGCUUUAAUUGAAUUGUCAUUUGAUAUAACUGUUGGUGCUACUAUGUUUAUGCCUUUUGCUUGAGGACAAGCAAAGAUUCAAGUGUGGGGGAGUUUGAUGAGUCAUUUAUAUGCUAUUUUAAUAUGCUUUUUAGUUUAGUUUUAUUUAGAUUUUAUAUAAUUUUAUAUUAGUAUUAUUUCCUUUUUAGGAUAGUUUACUUUAAAUUGCAAUUUAUUAUAUUUCAGGAAGAAUAUUGGAUGGAUUGAGUCUUGGAGCAAAAGAAAGGGAUUUGGAGCAAAUUGGACACGAAAAUACGAAGAUUGGGAAACAAAAUAUAUCUCCCACAAGUCAGAAGCCUGGCACGGCCCGUGCUAGCCUUGGCACGGCCCGUGCUAGCCUUGGCACGGCCGUGUCACCCUCCAGAAGACCUUUUGCUGCUUUUGCUUGGACUCCAAGCUAUUCUAUUUUGGCGCACAAUCUACCGAGGAAUAUUCUUGGAAUAUACUUGCUUAGAUUUUAAGUCAAUUGUGUACUAUAAAUAGAGUAGCUAGCCAUCACAAAUAUUCAUCUUUUCUUGGAAUACAAUAUGUGACAAUUGUCUUUCUAAUAAAAGUUCAUUUUACAUGCAUCGGAAUACAACCGUGGUAGUGCUGGCACAUGGGAUUGUUUCUAGUGGUGGAGAUUUACACGGUGUUAGAUCGGUGGCUUCCACUUCCAAUGGUGGGGUGUGUGCUUGAUGUAUGUAGACUGUCGACACGAAUUGAAGAUGGAGUUGCGUGUAAGAAAAACUCGACGGGAACCAUGCAGGUUUGACAUCUGGUGUCCAAAUGACUAUCAAUAUGCUUUUUUGGAAAGGGAAUCAACCCACAAGUGGAACUCAUGGCUUUUGCAUUAAGUAUGAGCUUUUUACACCAUACGAGUUUCAUGAAGGCCGAAAAUUAGAUUUUAUUAUUUCAGGCCCAAUUUUAAUAAUUUUUGUUUUAUUUUAUGUUAUGGAUUUUUGACCCAUUAGGGUUCCUUAGUUUUUAAACACUUAAGUUGUAGCCAGAGAUACACUUUUUCAUUCAAUAAAAUUUCAGAAUUUUGUCAAUUUUUGGUGGAUUCCGAAAUCCUAUUUACACAGUUUUUCAGUUGUAAACUUGUCAUUUUACAAUUUAGAUUUAGUGUUUGCUAACCUAAGCUUCCGACUGUGUCAGUACUUGAAAAUGUGAUUGUUCCAAUGCCUCCGGCGUUGGGGAUAGCCUUGGUCAAUGCUUUUGGACCAGAUGAUAGUGUCCCUUGGACACCCCAUCAGAAAACUAAAUUAUAAAAUAGUGUAAGCCUUGAUGGUAGCUAAACUCAAUGACAGAGAAAUAGGAGUUGAAACUUUGCUCUAAAUCAAGGUGAACAGUUUAAAUAGGAUUUCACAAAAGAGGUUGUGCAAACUUAUACACACUAGAGAAAAUCUUAAGAAAGGAAAAACAAAAAAUAAUAAAAAUAAAUCAAUCCUAAUGAAUUAAAGAAUAAUCAACAUAUCUAUUUGGAUUCUCUUCAAAGAAUGAAUACAGAGGUACUUCAAUUUCCCUCAUAAAAUGUUGAAAACAAGUUUUCUAAGUUGUAUCAUAAACAUAUUGAAGCCUAUCCUGGACAUAUCAGUCAAUAAUGUACUUAAUGAAAAAGUAAAGAAAAUCAGAGCGAUUUGGUGGCUUAAGUCACAUAUGAUAGGGUUUGCAUCUGCUCUGAUUCUUUAUUGCUGAAUUUUCGGCAGGUCCUCUACUUAAUAUAUGACUUCAUUGAGUAGUACUUUUUCCACUAUUAAAAGAGGUUUAUUUCCAGCAUCCAUAUAGGCUCAUAUUAUCUAUGAAGCACGCACGUACGACACGUGUCGGACAAGUGAUGAGUCAUUUAUAUGCUAUUUUAAUAUGCUUUUUAGUUUAGUUUUAUUUAGAUUUUAUAUAAUUUUAUAUUAGUAUUAUUUCCUUUUUAGGAUAGUUUACUUUAAAUUGCAAUUUAUUAUAUUUCAGGGAAGAAUAUUGGAUGGAUUGAGUCUUGGAGCAAAAGAAAGGGAUUUGGAGCAAAUUGGACACGAAAAUACGAAGAUUGGGAAACAAAAUAUAUCUCCCACAAGUCAGAAGCCUGGCACGGCCCGUGCUAGCCUUGGCACGGCCGUGUCACCCUCCAGAAGACCUUUUGCUGCUUUUGCUUGGACUCCAAGCUAUUCUAUUUUGGCGCACAAUCUACCGAGGAAUAUUCUUGGAAUAUACUUGCUUAGAUUUUAAGUCAAUUGUGUACUAUAAAUAGAGUAGCUAGCCAUCACAAAUAUUCAUCUUUUCUUGGAAUACAAUAUGUGACAAUUGUCUUUCUAAUAAAAGUUCAUUUUACUUUCUUGUUAUUUAUCUUUAUGCUUUCUCUCUUCUUCUCCUUGUCUAC